UUGUUUGCUUGUACGACUUAUACAUGUUUCAACUUUUAUGAAUUCACUAGCAAAAACAUGGUUGAUUGGAAUUGAUACUCGUAGAAGUAAACUAUGUAUAGUUAAAUGACAACACUUAUGCUUAGUGUCUACCUUACUCUUUAUAAGUUCCUUAUUUCAUGGUUUGCCAAUCCCUCAAUAAGUAUAUUUUUUAGCCAUAGAGAUGGAGAACCUCCUCCAGCUUCACAUAUCUCUAUCAUCUUCCCUCAAUUAUAUGGCUCUGAAUAUGAUGUAUCACCUGACAUUAAUAAGCUUAUGAAAGAAAAAGUAUCAUUUAGGAUAUACAAUCUCAUGGUUCUACAAUCUAAAUUCCUCUGGUCCUUGUACUUGUUUUUCAGAUAGGUAUUGCAAACAUGAAUAUUAUGCAUCAUUCUGCAGUCAGGUGCCUUCUCAUAGGAGGAUUUUAAAUGUUAAUAUUUCUAAUUUUCUUCUCUACCUACUUUUAUAAUCCAUGAAGUGUUUUUUGUGCAUCGACGAACAGUGAAACAGGUCCCUAUGUUUAUCUAAGUAGCAGUGGAUUAUGUUUGUCUUGCAAGUUAGUAAAUAAUGAAGGAUUGAGGUGCUAAUGAGCUGACAGCAGGCGAGGGAGCUGCCAGUUUCCUUUUCAUCACAAACAAACAUACUUUCCGGUGUUUGUAAGAUUCAGCUAGCGAUGACCAUUGUGAACAAUGAGGUUUUGCAAACACUAUCGGUCCUACUUGAUGAGCGAUUAACUAUGGCAAGGCGGUCUCUAUGGUUGCAAGACUUGUGUGUCUUUUGUUAAUAACAUACACAUGCUUACAAAAAUAUGGUGUCUAAGCAAUUGUUAGUGAUAGCAGAAGUUUUUACAUGGCGAAAAUGUUGGUGUUCAUUUGUUUGACUUGUGGGUUCUCAGAAGCGACCAAGCAUUCAACCUGGCCCUUUUACUCCAAUUCAAACAUUUGAAUUGGAGGCAGGUGCUGCUGGCCACAGAUGUUAUGGUGUAUUAUUCAUGCAUGACAGUGCAGCUUCCUGUUGUUAAAUGUUGGGCCCAAUUGGUUGAAGCCAUUAAUGGUGGAAUUAAAGCUGGAUAGAGACUGGGAGGAGUGGGUAGGAGGAAGAUGAGCAUUCUCAUGUGCUAACCUUUGAUGCUGAAUUAAUGGUGCAUUAAUGUAUUUUCUGUCAGAUGAUGGCCAGCUGCUGCUCAGUUUUGUUGCAGGAGUCUACAGCAUGUUGGGCUCCAUUUCCUACCUUCUCUGUCAUCUUCUUCCUUUGAACACGAUAGAUUGUUCGUUCUGGGAGAUUAAUCCAUCAAACUAAUGGCAUAGUUUGCUCAGGAAAUCUUGGUUUUC